CUACGGGAGGCAGCAGUGAGGAAUAUUGCGCAAUGGAGGCAACUCUGACGCAGCCAUGCCGCGUGCAGGAAGAAGGCGCUACGCGUUGUAAACUGCUUUUAUCCGGGAAGAAACCCCUCCACGCGUGGAGGGUUGACGGUACCGGAGGAAUAAGCACCGGCUAACUUCGUGCCAGCAGCCGCGGUAAUACGAAGGGUGCAAGCGUUAUCCGGAUUCAUUGGGUUUAAAGGGUGCGUAGGCGGGAUAGCAAGUCAGUGGUGAAAUCCCGUGGCUUAACCACGGAAUUGCCAUUGAUACUGCUGUUCUUGAGUACGCUCGACGUGGGCGGAAUGUGCCGUGUAGCGGUGAAAUGCUUAGAUAUGGCACAGAACACCGAUAGUGAAGACAGCUCACGAGGGCGAAACUGACGCUGAGGCACGAAAGCGUGGGGAUCAAACAGGAUUAGAUACCCGUGUAGUCC
rnacentral:rRNA from 1 species